rnacentral:lncRNA from 1 species
AUGAAGAUAUCGGAUAUGGCCGAGAAACUUUCGUCUGUCGGCCGAAGAUCAAAUAGAAAUCCUAAAUCAAGAAGAGUAGGGGUGGACAUUCCAUGGUUAAAGUGAAAAGUAUUCAUAGAAGAUGACCAAAAGCAUAAAGCAGCCAGUAGUGGAGGCAAUUUUAUGUCAUUUGGAAGGUGGAGAAUUCUAUGAGAUUUGAAAAACUAUUUCAUUCCCAAUAUGUACCUUUUGA